UACAGAGGGUGCAAGCGUUAAUCGGAAUUACUGGGCGUAAAGCGUGCGCAGGCGGUUUUGUAAGUCUGUUGUGAAAGCCCCGGGCUCAACCUGGGAAUUGCGAUGGAGACUGCAAGGCUUGAAUCUGGCAGAGGGGGGUAGAAUUCCACGUGUAGCAGUGAAAUGCGUAGAGAUGUGGAGGAACACCGAUGGCGAAGGCAGCCCCCUGGGUCAAGAUUGACGCUCAUGCACGAAAGCGUGGGGAGCAAACAGG
rnacentral:rRNA from 1 species